AAAGUUUGUCAAUGUACCACAGAGGAAAUCAGAAAUCGAGCAUUCGUUGAACAUGGAGCUGCUUAUAGUUGUAGAACAGAGCUUGUGUGGUCCGAGAAAACAGUUGUCCCGUUGCCAUUUUUGGGAAGAGCUCAAAAAGGAUCAAUAGGAACAACAAUUUGGUACACCUUUGAUUAAAACUUGUGUAUAAAUCAUCAUUUUAAACUUCUCUUUUCUGAAACAUGAUUUUCUUAAGAUAAAAUGAAUCGGCUAUAGAAUGAACUAUCAAUUUAUCUUUAACGCUCAUGUUGCUGCAUGUCAAUCAACGAAUGCUACUUCUUCUUCAAGAAUACAUCCUUAGUUAAUCAAAAACAAUUACGUCUAAAUAAUCCAAAACAAUUACAAGUUAGAAAAUAGUUUCUUGUAUAUUGUGUUCAUCAAAAGAUCAGUACAUAGUUGGUUGUAUUAGCUAGACCGUAAGUAUAAUAUAAUCCAAGAAACAAAACAAGCGUAGUUCAAGUUGGUGGGUCAAUUAUUAUUAUUAUAUAUUGACCAAUGUCUAAAAUGUUCAAAGAAAAGUUGAAGUAAAGAGACCAAUAAUCAAUAACAAUCCGGAAAGAGAAGUGUGGGCAACCUGACUAGAUGCUCAAUGACUAUUAUUUGGUGGAGAGUAGACAGACACCCGUGACAAUCCGGAAAGAGAAGUUUGUAUGUGUAGUCCGAUCAAUAAUAUACAUAUUUUUCAAUUUGUUAUUCGGUGGAAAAUGGCUGAUAAAAUAAGAGUAUUGAAUUUAAAGUCA